GGCAGUCUGAGAUCUCCUGGCUGCCUGGACCCGACGAUCUCUGCCUGCCUCUGUGCUCUGACUUCCCGAGGCGCUCCUCGACAUCUCUGGUGCAAACAGAUACAUUAAUCCGAGGAGCAUCUGCUUAAUAUCUGCAAUAUGAAAAGUGAAUGAUCACCAUUCUGAGAGAUCUGCAAUGGGCAGCAGUAACCAGCCAGCGUCGAUCGAUGAUGGACGCUCCGCACACGUGGCCAAAACCUUUCACAUGGAGGCUGACCUGCCAGGGAAACUCCCCUGCUUCUGCAUCCUGACCGCCCACGAUACGUGACGUCUUGAAC